rnacentral:rRNA from 1 species
UGGCGGACGGGUGAGUAACGCGUGGGCAACCUGGCCUGUACAGGGGGAUAACACUUAGAAAUAGGUGCUAAUACCGCAUAAGCGCACGGGGCUGCAUGGCCCAGUGUGAAAAACUCCGGUGGUAUAAGAUGGACCCGCGUCUGAUUAGCUUGUUGGCGGGGUAACGGCCCACCAAGGCGACGAUCAGUAGCCGGCCUGAGAGGGUGGACGGCCACAUUGGGACUGAGACACGGCCCAAACUCCUACGGAAGGCAGCAG